rnacentral:snRNA from 1 species
GUGCUCGCUUCCGCAGCACAUAUGCUAAAAUUGGAGUGACAUUAGCAUGGCCCUUGUGCCAGGAUGACACGCAAAUUCGGGAAGCGUUCCAUGUUUUU